rnacentral:rRNA from 1 species
UACAGAGGGUGCGAGCGUUAAUCGGAAUUACUGGGCGUAAAGCGUGCGUAGACGGUUACGUAAGUCGGGUGUGAAAGCCCCGGGCUCAACCUGGGAAUUGCAUUCGAGACUGCGUAGCUAGGGUGCGGAAGAGGGAAGCGGAAUUUCCGGUGUAGCGGUGAAAUGCGUAGAUAUCGGAAGGAACAUCAGUGGCGAAAGCGGCUUCCUGGUCCAGCACCGACGUUCAGGCACGAAAGCGUGGGGAGCAAACAGGG